rnacentral:miRNA from 1 species
GUGGGCGGGUGGGUCAGGGCCUGGGGACGGAGAGGGGCCCCUCAGGGCUCAGGGAUUGGAUGGAGGGGACUGGGGG